rnacentral:rRNA from 1 species
GUCUUAUUGUUUAUAAUAAUAAGUCUAUUCUGCCCAUUGAUUAAAAAUUAAAAGGCUGCAGUAUACUGACUGUACAAAGGUAGCAUAAUCAAUUGUUUUUUAAUUGAAAACUAGUAUGAAAGAAUGGAUGAAAUAUAAUUUGUCUCAAAAUUAAAAUAUUGAAUUUAAAUUAAAAGUCAAAAUGCUUUUAUUUAAUUAUAAGACGAUAAGACCCUAUAGAAUUUUAUAAAUUUUAUUUAUUAAAGAUAUUAUGUAAUAAAAUAUUUAAUGAAUAAUUAUAUUUUAUUGGGAGGAUAUUUAAAUUAAAUUAACUUUAAGAAUAUAUAAACAUUAAUUAAUGAGUUAGUGAUUAUUAUUAUAAUUAUUAGAAUAAAUUACCUUAGGGAUAACAGCGUAAUAAUUUUGGAGAGCCCAUAUUGAUAAAAUUGUUUGCGACCUCGAUGUUGAAUUAUGAUAAAAAUUAAACGGAGUAGUUUAAAAUUUUAGUCUGUUCGACUAUUAAAAUCAUACA